rnacentral:tRNA from 1 species
GCUAGUGUAGCUUAAUAGGUAGAGCAGCUGAUUUGUAAUCAGCGGGUCGGGAGUUCGAAUCUCUUCACUAGCU